UACGGAGGGUGCAAGCGUUAUCCGGAUUCACUGGGUUUAAAGGGUGCAUAGGCGGUUUAUUAAGUCAGUGGUGAAAGCCCGGAGCUCAACUUCGGAACUGCCAUUGAUACUGAUAGACUUGAGUACAGAUGAAGUGGGCGGAAUGUGACAAGUAGCGGUGAAAUGCUUAGGUAUGUCACAGAACACCGAUUGCGAAGGCAGCUCACUAAAGUGUAACUGACGCUGAGGCACGAAAGCGUGGGGAUCAAACAGG
rnacentral:rRNA from 1 species